rnacentral:misc_RNA from 1 species
CAUCAAGGAUUCUAGCAGAGACACAGAUGUCAUUAGAGUCAUCUCCUCGCCAUUAUAGGAUUCAAAAGCAAAACCCAGCACCCCAGAAAGUUAUUGAGUUUCGGAAGAUGGAGAAAGAUAAUAGGACUUCUGUUUCCAAGAAAGUACUUUUGCCCAAUCUCAGUGGCAUCUUCCAGCGAAAGAAGAACCAAAUUGAAGGUGGAUCUCCUUCUUACCUGCCUGGUGAGAAGCCUGUCUAACACCUGCGUUUGCAAUACCUUUGUGUGAUAAUGAAUGGUUGAGAGGCAUUGUUUAUGUGUUGAUUGUGUGUGUACAAAUAUUUGAAACUAGUGGAAUCAAAUUCUACAAUCUCUCCUCUGUUUAAGGAAGAAAAAGCGAAUAUCAAAAUCCACACUUCCCUAAACUUGCUUAUCAUGAUCUUUU